rnacentral:tRNA from 1 species
GCAUUGGUGGUUCAGUGGUAGAAUUCUCACCUUUCAUGAGGGAGACUCAGGUUUGAUUCUUGGCCAAUUCU